GCAAUAGUUGAAUAAUUUUAUGUGAAUAACACCUGCAUCUUUGGCACUGAACUCUUGUUUGAACAGUCCAAAAGUCGAAACUGUCUUGAAUACAGUUUAUUACGUUAACUUUAUUAUAUCAAGUUUAUUACGUGGUGAUUAGUGAUUGAAAUAGCACCCCAAAAUAUAAAGGAAUCAGGAUCUCUUCACACUAUUCAUCGAAUAAGAAAGUCUCUACUAUCUACAAAUAAGAAAGAUACAACCAUACAUUGAAAAUGAAGUUUAUCACAGUCAUAUCACUGACACUCUACAUUGGAUUAUUUCUGGUAAAUGUGAAGAGUGAUGCUGGAGACAAUCGAAUAGCUGCAGAAUGUGAGUU